rnacentral:rRNA from 1 species
GAUGAACGCUAGCGGCAGGCCUAAUACAUGCAAGUCGAGGGGUAGAAGAGGCUUGCUUCUUUGAGACCGGCGCACGGGUGCGUAACGCGUAUGCAGCCUACCUUCAUCUGGGGGAUAGCCCGGAGAAAUCCGGAUUAAUACCGCAUAAAAUCACAGGAUGGCAUUAUCCAAUGAUCAAACAUUUAUGGGAUGGAGAUGGGCAUGCGUGUCAUUAGCUAGUUGGCGGGGUAACGGCCCACCAAGGCGACGAUGACUAGGGGAUCUGAGAGGAUGGCCCCCCACACUGGUACCGAGACACGGACCAGACUCCUACGGGAGGCAGCAGUAAGGAAUAUUGGUCAAUGGAGGCAACUCUGAACCAGCCAUGCCGCGUGCAGGAAGACUGCCCUAUGGGUUGUAAACUGCUUUUAUUCGGGAAUAAACCUUAUUACGUGUAAUAAGCUGAAUGUACCGAAGGAAUAAGGAUCGGCUAACUCCGUGCCAGCAGCCGCAGUAAGAC